GCUUACCAUGCAGUCGAACGAUGAACCAGCCUUCGGGUGGGGAUUAGUGGCGAACGGGUGAGUAACACGUGGGCAAUCUGCCCUGCACUCUGGGACAAGCCCUGGAAACGGGGUCUAAUACCGGAUACUGACCUGCCAAGGCAUCUUGGCGGGUCGAAAGCUCCGGCGGUGCAGGAUGAGCCCGCGGCCUAUCAGCUUGUUGGUGAGGUAAUGGCUCACCAAGGCGACGACGGGUAGCCGGCCUGAGAGGGCGACCGGCCACACUGGGACUGAGACACGGCCCAAACUCCUACGGGAGGCAGCAGUGGGGAAUAUUGCACAAUGGGCGCAAGCCUGAUGCAGCGACGCCGCGUGAGGGAUGACGGCCUUCGGGUUGUAAACCUCUUUCAGCAGGGAAGAAGCGAAAGUGACGGUACCUGCAGAAGAAGCGCCGGCUAACUACGUGCCAGCAGCCGCGGUAAUACGUAGGGCGCAAGCGUUGUCCGGAAUUAUUGGGCGUAAAGAGCUCGUAGGCGGCUUGUCGCGUCGGUUGUGAAAGCCCGGGGCUUAACCCCGGGUCUGCAGUCGAUACGGGCAGGCUAGAGUUCGGUAGGGGAGAUCGGAAUUCCUGGUGUAGCGGUGAAAUGCGCAGAUAUCAGGAGGAACACCGGUGGCGAAGGCGGAUCUCUGGGCCGAUACUGACGCUGAGGAGCGAAAGCGUGGGGAGCGAACAGGAUUAGAUACCCUGGUAGUCCACGCCGUAAACGGUGGGCACUAGGUGUGGGCAACAUUCCACGUUGUCCGUGCCGCAGCUAACGCAUUAAGU
rnacentral:rRNA from 1 species